UGCUGGAAAACCUGGGAAUUGAACUCACAGAAAAGGAACGUGAAGAUCUGACAGAAUAUUUGCCACCUGACGCAAAUGGGAAGAUUGGUCUCAAAAACGUGAUGGAAGCAGUGGAAACCGUUACAGGAGGAGAGGUUGAUGUCAGUGAUGUGGGAAAUGUCC